GCUGGGCAGGGGGAGCGCGGAUGGGGUGCCGGCGCCGGCCGCCUCAGCGCCCUCCUCCCUUCUCCUUUCCCCGAGGUGGGGACCGCUGGCUCCUUUCCCCGCCCCCCGCACACCCCCGCGGCCGCUGCCAGCGCCCUGCCUCGCUCACAUUCCCCUGCCGCCGGUGGCGGGAGCUGUGGCAGCGAGCCCGGCGGGGCUCUUCGCCGCGGCCCCCAGAGCAGAGCCGGCGCCAGCCGCAGGCAGUGCUGCCUAGGCGGGAGGGCUCGGAGGGGGCUCCUGAGGUAACUUGGCGGUGGGCGCAAGCUACCAUCUCGGGCUUUGCACUCAGCACCGCCGAGCCGAGCCUCCUGCGGCGGUACCCGGGCUGGCGUCCGGCCUGACCCCGGCAACCACGCUGGCAGGUGAAGCGCUGAGCUGUUUGUCAGUUCUGGGGAAAGGAAAAUGUCAUAUGUCAAACUGUUGCUGUGCCAGGAAGUGUCCCUUGGUGAAAACUGCUUCACUUGUUGGUUGUCAGCAGCAGAGAGAAGCACUGUGCAGCAGGAGAGCUGGAAAAGCUUUCAUCAGCUCCUGGUUUCCAUCACUGCUGUGUAAAGGAAACAUUUCUUCUGCAGCAAAAUAAUAGUAAAGAAAAUUACUGCAGUCAAGUGAAACAUGCUUCCAGGUAAAAUAUUUAUUACCUGUUAAAGUGAUUCAAGGUCACUCAU